AGGGCGCACGGUGGAUGCCUUGGCACUAGAAGCCGAUGAAGGACGUUACUAACGACGAUAUGCUUUGGGGAGCUGUAAGUAAGCUUUGAUCCAGAGAUUUCCGAAUGGGGAAACCCAACAUGAGUUAUGUCAUGUUAUCGAUAUGUGAAUACAUAGCAUAUCAGAAGGCACACCCGGAGAACUGAAACAUCUUAGUACCCGGAGGAAGAGAAAGAAAAUUCGAUUCCCUUAGUAGCGGCGAGCGAAACGGGAAGAGCCCAAACCAACAAGCUUGCUUGUUGGGGUUGUAGGACACUCUAUACGGAGUUACAAAGGACGACAUUAGACGAAUCAUCUGGAAAGAUGAAUCAAAGAAGGUAAUAAUCCUGUAGUCGAAAAUGUUGUCUCUCUUGAGUGGAUCCUGAGUACGACGGAGCACGUGAAAUUCCGUCGGAAUCUGGGAGGACCAUCUCCUAAGGCUAAAUACUCUCUAGUGACCGAUAGUGAACCAGUACCGUGAGGGAAAGGUGAAAAGCACCCCGGAAGGGGAGUGAAAUAGAACCUGAAACCGUGUGCUUACAAGUAGUCAGAGCCCGUUAAUGGGUGAUGGCGUGCCUUUUGUAGAAUGAACCGGCGAGUUACGAUUUGAUGCAAGGUUAAGCAGUAAAUGUGGAGCCGUAGCGAAAGCGAGUCUGAAUAGGGCGUUUAGUAUUUGGUCGUAGACCCGAAACCAGGUGAUCUACCCUUGGUCAGGUUGAAGUUCAGGUAACACUGAAUGGAGGACCGAACCGACUUACGUUGAAAAGUGAGCGGAUGAACUGAGGGUAGCGGAGAAAUUCCAAUCGAACCUGGAGAUAGCUGGUUCUCUCCGAAAUAGCUUUAGGGCUAGCCUCAAGUGAUGAUUAUUGGAGGUAGAGCACUGUUUGGACGAGGGGCCCCUCUCGGGUUACCGAAUUCAGACAAACUCCGAAUGCCAAUUAAUUUAACUUGGGAGUCAGAACAUGGGUGAUAAGGUCCGUGUUCGAAAGGGAAACAGCCCAGACCACCAGCUAAGGUCCCAAAAUAUAUGUUAAGUGGAAAAGGAUGUGGCGUUGCCCAGACAACUAGGAUGUUGGCUUAGAAGCAGCCAUCAUUUAAAGAGUGCGUAAUAGCUCACUAGUCGAGUGACACUGCGCCGAAAAUGUACCGGGGCUAAACAUAUUACCGAAGCUGUGGAUUGUCCUUUGGACAAUGGUAGGAGAGCGUUCUAAGGGCGUUGAAGCAUGAUCGUAAGGACAUGUGGAGCGCUUAGAAGUGAGAAUGCCGGUGUGAGUAGCGAAAGACGGGUGAGAAUCCCGUCCACCGAUUGACUAAGGUUUCCAGAGGAAGGCUCGUCCGCUCUGGGUUAGUCGGGUCCUAAGCUGAGGCCGACAGGCGUAGGCGAUGGAUAACAGGUUGAUAUUCCUGUACCACCUAUAAUCGUUUUAAUCGAUGGGGGGACGCAGUAGGAUAGGCGAAGCGUGCGAUUGGAUUGCACGUCUAAGCAGUAAGGCUGAGUAUUAGGCAAAUCCGGUACUCAUUAAGGCUGAGCUGUGAUGGGGAGAAGACAUUGUGUCUUCGAGUCGUUGAUUUCACACUGCCGAGAAAAGCCUCUAGAUAGAAAAUAGGUGCCCGUACCGCAAACCGACACAGGUAGUCAAGAUGAGAAUUCUAAGGUGAGCGAGCGAACUCUCGUUAAGGAACUCGGCAAAAUGACCCCGUAACUUCGGGAGAAGGGGUGCUCUUUAGGGUUAACGCCCAGAAGAGCCGCAGUGAAUAGGCCCAAGCGACUGUUUAUCAAAAACACAGGUCUCUGCUAAACCGUAAGGUGAUGUAUAGGGGCUGACGCCUGCCCGGUGCUGGAAGGUUAAGAGGAGUGGUUAGCUUCUGCGAAGCUACGAAUCGAAGCCCCAGUAAACGGCGGCCGUAACUAUAACGGUCCUAAGGUAGCGAAAUUCCUUGUCGGGUAAGUUCCGACCCGCACGAAAGGCGUAACGAUUUGGGCACUGUCUCAACGAGAGACUCGGUGAAAUCAUAGUACCUGUGAAGAUGCAGGUUACCCGCGACAGGACGGAAAGACCCCGUGGAGCUUUACUGUAGCCUGAUAUUGAAAUUCGGCACAGCUUGUACAGGAUAGGUAGGAGCCUUUGAAACGUGAGCGCUAGCUUACGUGGAGGCGCUGGUGGGAUACUACCCUAGCUGUGUUGGCUUUCUAACCCGCACCACUUAUCGUGGUGGGAGACAGUGUCAGGCGGGCAGUUUGACUGGGGCGGUCGCCUCCUAAAAGGUAACGGAGGCGCUCAAAGGUUCCCUCAGAAUGGUUGGAAAUCAUUCAUAGAGUGUAAAGGCAUAAGGGAGCUUGACUGCGAGACCUACAAGUCGAGCAGGGUCGAAAGACGGACUUAGUGAUCCGGUGGUUCCGCAUGGAAGGGCCAUCGCUCAACGGAUAAAAGCUACCCCGGGGAUAACAGGCUUAUCUCCCCCAAGAGUUCACAUCGACGGGGAGGUUUGGCACCUCGAUGUCGGCUCAUCGCAUCCUGGGGCUGUAGUCGGUCCCAAGGGUUGGGCUGUUCGCCCAUUAAAGCGGUACGCGAGCUGGGUUCAGAACGUCGUGAGACAGUUCGGUCCCUAUCCGUCGUGGGCGUAGGAAAUUUGAGAGGAGCUGUCCUUAGUACGAGAGGACCGGGAUGGACAUACCUCUGGUGUACCAGUUGUCGUGCCAACGGCAUAGCUGGGUAGCUAUGUGUGGACGGGAUAAGUGCUGAAAGCAUCUAAGCAUGAAGCCCCCCUCAAGAUGAGAUUUCCCAACUUCGGUUAU
rnacentral:rRNA from 2 species